rnacentral:tRNA from 1 species
GCCCGGUUAGCUCAGUGGUAGAGCGCCUCUCUUACAAAGAGGAUGUCGCUGGUUCGAACCCGGCACCGGGCAUCA